GUAGGGGGCGAGCGUUGUCCGGAAUUAUUGGGCGUAAAGAGCGUGUAGGCGGUUCGGUAAGUCUGCCGUGAAAACCUGGGGCUCAACCCCGGGCGUGCGGUGGAUACUGCCGGGCUAGAGGGUGGUAGAGGCGAGUGGAAUUCCCGGUGUAGCGGUGAAAUGCGCAGAUAUCGGGAGGAACACCAGUAGCGAAGGCGGCUCGCUGGGCCAUUCCUGACGCUGAGACGCGAAAGCUAGGGGAGCGAACAGGAUUAGAUACCCUGGUAGUCCUAGCCGUAAACGAUGAACACUAGGUGUGGGGGGAGUCGAAUCCCUCUGUGCCGCAGCCAACGCGUUAAGUGUUCCGCCUGGGGAGUACGGCCGCAAGGCUAAA
rnacentral:rRNA from 1 species